UUCGCAAUGCCCGAAAGGGUGACGAAGCGACGCCGCGUGCGGGAAGAAGGCCUUCGGGUUGUAAACCGCUGUCGGGAGUUAAGAAAUGUAAGGAUGUUAAUAGCAUCUUUGCUUGACUAAGGCUCCGGAGGAAGCCACGGCUGACUCUGUGCCAGCAGCCGCGGUAAUACAGAGGCGGCAAGCGUUGUUCGGAAUUAUUGGGCGUAAAGAGCACGUAGGCGGCUAUGUAAGUCGGUUGUGAAAGCCUUCCGCUCAACGGGAGAACAGCAUCCGAUACUGCAUGGCUUGAGUGCGGGAGGGGAGAGUGGAACUUCUGGUGGAGCGGUGAAAUGCGUAGAUAUCAGAAGGAACGCCGGCGGCGAAAGCGGCUCUCUGGCCCAUAACUGACGCUGAGUGUGCGAAAGCUAGGGGAGCAAACGGGAUUAGAUACCCCGGUAGUCCUAGCCGUAAACGAUGGGCACUAAGUAGAGGGGUUUU
rnacentral:rRNA from 2 species